CCCCUCCCACCGGUCAGCCUGGCGCAACUGCACCUUUUCAUUUCUUCCUUUAUUUUUUCCUCCUGUCAUCAUCUGGUUUCAAGAGGACACCGCUCCACGUCAGGCUGCACCUGCUGGGAAACCUUACCUCGCUACCCCCAAACUCAUCGAAAUCUUAAGAAUACCUUCUGCUCCCUUGCGUGCACUUGCAACGCCUGUUUUAUAAUUAAUUUCAAGUCGUGUCAUAACCCAGACAAAGGGCCGUCCUCUUUUUUUCUCUUUUUUUCUUUUUUUUUCCACCCUCUGACAAUAUCUCCUGCAAAGAUCACCAGGUGAUCUGGAAAUAAAUGAUGGAUCGCUUUGCGGACGGGCGAGGGGAGAGGACGACUCGUUAGUGCUGAUGCUAAGCGAGGAGCACUCUGCCGCGGUUGCUUUCUUACUUAACUCUCUGCCUUCACUGAGGACCGCUCCGCUCGGGGGGGGGGGGGGGAAGAAGCAUAAACCCAAAGCCGGGCCUGCCGAGCGCGGGGUUCCCCUCCUCCAGGAAAGCAGAGCUUCGGGGCGCGAUCGUUAACUUCUGCGAUCAUCAUUGGGUUUCUUGGCAAGGAGGCUGAGCGGGCUUUUUUUUUUCUUAACCUCCUGUGUUGUUUUUUGUUUGCUCAGAUGACAUUCCCUGCUCCGAUGCCCUCCCCCCCCCCCAUCCCCCCCCCAUCCCCCGCCCGGACAGCGCUCGCACACAGACACACACACACACACACACACACACACACACGCGCACACCCCUUCUCCUUUCAUCAUCAGCAAAUAAAGAUUAGGUGGGCAGAUUAUAGAAAGCGUUUUCAGUCCUGUGCUGAUCUUUAUUCCGGAGCCUUUGUGAUGAUAUUGAUGAUGAUGAUGGUCAAGUGGACAGUUUGAUUUUUGUGUUUGGAGCUAGUUAUAAAGAAUCAAUAUUAUAUCAAGGGGUAACUUUCGUGAUAAAGGACUUUAACCACUCCGGCUAUUCAUCAUAAGUCUGUAGCAAGCAGAUAGGUCAAAAGAAAUUAUAUUGCACUAAAGAGUGUGUCUUCUUAUCUCUCCUAUACCAGGGGAAUAAGGGACAAGCCGAUCGAUACAGGAGCUGCUGUAUACUUCUUGCAAUUAUCAAUAGCUGAUUUCGUCUUUUGAGGCCUGAAUCUAUUAAUACAAACCAAUAAUAAUCUUCUGAGCAUAUCAGUAGCCAAGGGGACGAAAGUUUUUAUACUUGACAGCACUAUUUAUAGAGCUAAAGUUACCGAACACUGUCGUAUUGCGUGUGCUUCCCCGUGCUAUGCAUAUACAGACAUAUACCUUUCCAUAUACACCUCUCCGGUCAUUUGGGGCAGAAUACAGCCUUUUGCAAAGGGGCUACCUAGAUUGAGUUUGAAUGUAAGCUGUACCCACGUGUACCUCCUGCAGCGUGUGCAGACCUUCCUCACGACAGAAAUACAGCAUUUGAAUGUGUGCACCACCUAUACGUGUGCGCAUCUGUAGGGUGGCGUGCAUCUAUAGGUGUCUCCAACACGUGUGGCUGCUCUUAAAUGAGUGCUGCCCUGAUAAUAUCCCCAUAGCUGUGCGUAUGAAAAACAUUCCGCCAAGUAUUUAAAAUUGUUGCUUAAAUGAAUGUGUCAUCUGUUAGGUUAAGGAACGGAAGUGGGUGGUAAUUGGAGUUCGCUAAGUGUGAGCGUACGCUUUUGUGUGCAUGAGUCGAUGUUUAUUUAGACCCGAGAGCGGGGUGAUAUUAAAUAAAAAGAAAAGUAACUUGGAUGUUUAAGGCAAAACGUUCAGGCGGUGUUAUGCUCUAAGC
ensembl:lncRNA